ensembl:lncRNA
AUGUCACGGCCUACAAAGGCCACAAUUCUGCCAGCAAGAGCUUUAAAUUUAGCACUAUGCUUUUCUUGCAGGGUCAAGAUGAAUAGACAAACAUCUACCACAGAAGCAGAAAAAGACGUACUGCAAAUCCAUGCAAAUCGGGAAAGCGGCAAAGGGGGGAGUUUCUGCCAGUGAUCAGUGACCCUGGAGCUGCUGGCAUCGCCCCUGCCCAGCGCGAAGAGGGAUAUUUCAGACCAGAGAACAGGUGGACACCAGCCAUGGGAGACGGUUCAACCGGCUUGCCCACAAACAGGGGUCAGGGUGGGCCACACGUCACAUAAAUCAAUCUGACGUGUUCACCCAGGCCUGCACUGGCACAGGCCAACCCGCGGCCCAAGCCCCAUGCCCACUGAGCUACUGGCUGUGGCGCUAUUUUGAUGCAUGGUUCAGGGGUGCAUUUGGAACGGGUCGGCUGACUGAUCCAGGGCCUGGCUGGAGAGACUUCAGGUGCCUUCUGNAACUGGCAUGAUAUAAUGGAUCAAAAAUGAAAAUUAUUCAUUAAUCGCGUUGGGUUUUCCAAUAAUGGAAAUGACACAGUUCAGACGCUGCCGUAAAAACACUAUUAAUUAAAGGGAUGAUAGAUCUAACAAGGCAUGGAACCGAGAGAAGUCUUCCUCCACUCCUCUCUGAGGUGAAGGAUUGUGGGAAUGGUCUGACUGACAGGUCACUUCUUGGCAUGACGAGUGUAAUGAGUGCGUGUGUGUGUAUUAGUGUGGUGGACUUCCGAAUGGUGAGGCAAAAACUAUAAGAGCUCGAGCUUUUUCCUGUUCUGUUUUCACACACACACACACACACACAUAUAUAUACACACACACAGUAUAUACAGCAUAUGUCUGCUUGUACAUAGUGCUACACACACACUCGUAUGUAUGUAUGUAUGUAUACAUACGUGUGUUUACAUGAAAAAAGUAAAUAUAUAAAAUAUUAUAAAUUAUUAAAUAUCUUAUAUAUACUAUUUAUUACAACCAAUAAUAUUUAAAAACAAUAUAAUAAUAUUAUACCUAAUAACAUUUAAAAACAAUAUAACAAUAUUAUUAUAUACUGUAUAAUAUAAUAUAAAAUUAACAUCAACAUUUUUUUGAAAAGUCACUGCCUCUUUUACCUCUUCACAGAAAGGUGUGUGUGUGUGUGUGUGUGUGUGUGUGUGUGUGUGUGUGUGUGUGUGUGUAUAAAGGCGAGAGGCCCAAUAUUCAUCAGCAGAUGAGACGUGUGCAUGUGUCUGUGAGAAAAAGGCAGAUGAAGGGAGGAAGAUAAGAGAAAAAGAUGACAGCACUCAAAGGCAAAAGGCAGCGCUUUCUCUCAUCUUCUGACCACCGGCUGACCCCGAGACUGAGAGCCGAGAGCUGACGGAGUGACCCGGCUCCCUUUGACCCUGCCAAGCUGAGCACGAGGCUCCCCAGCUGAACCCACCGGAGCUCCAGCCUCACUGAUCUCCAGCCCUGUAAUUGGGUCAAAGCUCUGCAUUGCCUUAUUGAUGUGCAAAUGCUAACUGUCUAGGCAUGUCACUCUCAGCCAUAUUAGAGAACACCUCGAGGAUGACUGCAGGAGAUCAAGGACGCCAAUGCACCAUUUCAUAUCAAACCGCAAACAUGAGAGGGGUGCCGUUCAUUAAAAUUUAGGCCAUCAAGAAAUAUCCAAUUCAAAAGAAAUGUCUAAUUUGAAACGGUCCUUGACAGGACACGAUCAUAUCUUAACAUAUCUUAACGUAUUUAACAACCAGUUUUGACAUGAGUAAUGACACCCUAAAAAAGAAUGUUCUCACAAAUUAUGAUAAGCAUUAAAAUGAUGGGAAGUCUGAACAUGUCAGUUAACCAGGAAGAAGUACAGUCAGUCAGAAAGUCAAAAGAUUUGUGAAAGUAAGAAGUUAUGAGGACAUGCAAGGACAUGCAUCCUUUUUAUGAACAGUGGUUAUUUCUCUGAAGAGAAGAAGGAAAUAGUAUAAAAUAAUAAAUGAGAAAAUAAUCAAUAGUACA